AUUUUCGAGAACCGAGUUAAACAUAAAUUGUAACCAUUAAUCUCCAAGUACAGCGUCCCUGGGAAGGCCAAACAAAAAUGAUUAGACUCCAAAAUGAAAAUAACAGCGUUUUGACGACAUGGCGACAAAAACAAAUGCAGCUCUUCCUUCUUCUCCAUUGGAGCGCAACAAGACCACGCCCCCUUUUUGUGAAUUCAUGUGUGCGGAGGUUAGUCAAAAAACUGUUUUAGUGACAAGAGUCUACAACUGAUGAGAUUAAUAUUGUAAAGGUAUUAACCAGAAAAUUACUGUAAUGAUUUCAGUGUAAAAAAAAUGUAUUCACUGUAUUGAAUACAUUUUACAUUCAAUGUAUUCACAUUUUUUUAUGAUGAUUAUUAAAAUUUCCACUUAAAUCUUCACUUUUUGUAUUUGUUUUUUUGCUUCUUCCUCCUGUACACAGUUAUUUACUAACGGCUGUGUUGACAUAUUUAUUUAUUUUAUGGAGAGGUUAUGUCUUUCAGUGUGACUCACGUCUGCGGAGCCAGCACCACUGCACAAGAUGGCUGCCAGCCCGGAGCCACUGCAGAGGAAGGCAGUUACAGUGGGCUUUCCUGAGUUGAGUCAGAUUCCUGUUGACCUUCCAGAGUCGAGUCAGGUGCCCGUUGACUUUCCAGAGUUGAGUCAGUUUCCGGUUGACCCUCCAGAGUCGAGUCAGGUGUUCAUGGACCCUCCAGAGUCAGGGUUAGUCACCGUCGAUCUUCCAGAGUCAGGGUUAGUUACCGUUGACCCUCCAGAGUCAGGGCUAGAUCCUGUUGACCUUCCAGAGUUGAGUCAAAUUUCAGUUGACUGUCCAGAGUCAAGUCAGGCCCCUGUUGACCCUCCAGAGUCGAGUCAAAUUCCAGUUGACUGUCCAGAGGCAAGUCAGGCUUCUGUUGACCAUCCAGAAUCGAGUCACGUGCCCGUGGACUUUCCAGAGUUGAGUCAGUUUCCGGUUGACGCUUCAGAGUCGGGUCAGGUGUUCAUGGCCCCUCCAGAGUCAGGGUUAGUCACCGUCGACCUUCCAGAGUCAGGUUUAGUUACCGUUGACCCUCCAGAGUCAGGGCUAGUUCCUGUUGACCUUCCAGAGUCGAGACAAAUUUCAGUUGACUGUACAGAGUCAAGUCAGGCCCCUGUUGACCCUCCUGAGUCAAGUCACGUUCCAGUAGAUUCCCCAGAAUCAAGUCAGGUUCCGGUUGACCCUCCAGAGUCAGGGCUAGUUCCUGUGGACCUUCCAGAGUCGAGUCAGGUGCCCAUUGACUUUCCAGAGUUGAGUCAGGUUCCGGUUGAACCUCCAGAGUCUAGUCAGGUGCUCGUGGACCCUCCAGAGUUAGGGUUAGUCACCGUUGACCUUCCGAAGUCAGGGUUAGUCACCUUUGACCUUCCAGAGUCAGGAUUAGCUACCAUGGACUUUCCAGAGACAAGGCUAGUCACCAUUGACCUUUCAGAGUCAAGUCAAGUCACUGGUGAUCCUCAAGGACAGAGUCAAGUCACUGGUGAUCCUCAAGGACUAAGUCAAGUCAUUGGUGAUCUUCAAGUACAGAGUCAAGUCACUGGUGAUCCUCAAGGACUGAGUCAAGUCACUGGUGAUCCUCAAGAACUGAGUCAAGUCACCGGUGAUCUUCGAGGACUGAGUCAAGUCACUGGGGAUCUUCAAGGACUGAGUCAAGUCACCGGGGAUCUUCAUUAACAAAUGCAAGUCACCAAUAA
rnacentral:lncRNA from 1 species